GGGCUCGUAGCUCAGUUGGGAGAGCGCUAGAAUCGCACUCUAGAGGUCGUGAGUUCAACUCUCAUCGAGUCCA
rnacentral:tRNA from 1 species